rnacentral:rRNA from 1 species
UACGAAGGGGGCUAGCGUUGUUCGGAGUUACUGGGCGUAAAGGGUGCGUAGGCGGCGCACUAAGUCAGGCGUGAAAGCCCUGGGCUCAACCCGGGAAUUGCGCUUGAGACUGGUGUGCUCGAGUACGGGAGAGGAUAGUGGAAUUCCCAGUGUAGAGGUGAAAUUCGUAGUUAUUGGGAAGAACACCGGUGGCGAAGGCGGCUAGCUGGACCGUAACUGACGCUGAGGCGCGAAAGCGUGGGGAGCAAACAGG